rnacentral:rRNA from 1 species
AACGAACGCUGGCGGCAGGCUUAACACAUGCAAGUCGAACGCAUCCUUCGGGGUGAGUGGCGGACGGGUGAGUAACACGUUGGAACCUGCCCCGAAGAGGGGGAUAACUACCCGAAAGGGUGGCUAAUACCCCAUAUACUCCGAUUUAUUCGGAGGAAAGCUUUUGCGCUUCGGGAGGGGCCGGCGUAACAUUAGGUUGUUGGUUAGGUAAAAGCUCACCAAGGCGACGAUGUUUAGCUGGUUUGAGAGGAUGAUAAGCCACACUGGGACUGAGAUACGGCCCAGACUCCUACGGGAGGCAGCAGUGAGGAAUAUUCCACAAUGGGGGAAACCCUGAUGGAGCGAUGCCGCGUGCAGGAAGACGCUUUUCGGAGUGUAAACUGCUUUUAAUAGGGAAGAUUAUGACGGUACCUAUAGAAUAAGGACCGGCUAACUACGUGCCAGCCGCCGCUGUAA